AUUGAACGCUGGCGGAAUGCUUUACACAUGCAAGUCGAACGGCAGCACGGGGGCAACCCUGGUGGCGAGUGGCGAACGGGUGAGUAAUACAUCGGAACGUGCCCAGUCGUGGGGGAUAACGCAGCGAAAGCUGUGCUAAUACCGCAUACGAUCUAGGGAUGAAAGCGGGGGACCGUAAGGCCUCGCGCGCUUGGAGCGGCCGAUGGCAGAUUAGGUAGUUGGUGGGGUAAAGGCUCACCAAGCCGACGAUCUGUAGCUGGUCUGAGAGGACGACCAGCCACACUGGGACUGAGACACGGCCCAGACUCCUACGGGAGGCAGCAGUGGGGAAUUUUGGACAAUGGGCGCAAGCCUGAUCCAGCCAUUCCGCGUGCAGGAUGAAGGCCCUCGGGUUGUAAGCUGCUUUUGUACGGAACGAAACGGUCUGCUCUAAUACAGCGGGCUAAUGACGGUACCGUAAGAAUAAGCACCGGCUAACUACGUGCCAGCCGCCGCAGUAA
rnacentral:rRNA from 1 species